rnacentral:rRNA from 1 species
UUACUGACGCUGAAGCUCGAAAGCGUGGGUAUCGAACAGGAUUAGAUACCCUGGUAGUCCACGCGGUAAACGAUGGAUGCUCGCUGUUUGCCUAUUAUGGUAAGCGGCCAAGCGAAAGCAUUAAGCAUCCCACCUGGGGAGUACGCCGGCAACGGUGAAACUCAAAGGAAUUGACGGGGGCCCGCACAAGCGGAGGAACAUGUGGUUUAAUUCGAUGAUACGCGAGGAACCUUACCCGGGCUUGAACUGUAGGUGAACGAUUCAGAGAUGAUGAGGUCCUUCGGGACGCCUAUGGAGGUGCUGCAUGGUUGUCGUCAGCUCGUGCCGUGAGGUGUCGGCUUAAGUGCCAUAACGAGCGCAACCCCUUUCCGCAGUUGCCAUCAGGUUAAGCUGGGCACUCUGCGGAUACUGCCACCGCAAGGUGUGAGGAAGGUGGGGAUGACGUCAAAUCAGCACGGCCCUUACGUCCGGGGCUACACACGUGUUACAAUGGCGCAUACAGCGAGUUGGUCUUUGGCAACAGAGGUCUAAUCAGUAAAAUGCGUCGUAGUUCGGAUUGGGGUCUGCAACCCGACCCCAUGAAGCUGGAUUCGCUAGUAAU